rnacentral:rRNA from 1 species
UUAUGGCUCAGGAUGAACGCUGGCGGCGUGCCUAACACAUGCAAGUCGAACGGUGAUAUAUAGAUGAUUCGGUCUGAAAUAUAUCAUAGUGGCGGACGGGUGAGUAACGCGUGGAUAACCUGCCCCGUACUGGGGGAUAGCAGCUGGAAACGACUGCUAAUACCGCAUAAGCGCACAGUACCGCAUGGUACAGUGUGAAAAGACUAUCGGCAUACGAUGGACCCGCGUCUGAUUAGCUAGUUGGUGAGGUAACGGCCCACCAAGGCGACGAUCAGUAGCCGGCCUGAGAGGGUGAACGGCCACAUUGGGACUGAGACACGGCCCAAACUCCUACGGGAGGCAGCAGUGGGGAAUAUUGGACAAUGGGGGAAACCCUGAUUCCCAGCGACGCCGCGUGAGUGAAGAAGUAUUUCGGUAUGUAAAGCUCUAUCAGCAAGGAAGAAAAUGACGGUACUUGACUAAGAAGCUCCGGCUAAAUACGUGCCAGCCGCUGC